GACGAACGCUGGCGGCGUGCUUAACACAUGCGAGUCGAACGGUGAUGCUCCAGCUUGCUGGCGUGGAUCAGUGGCGAACGGGUGAGUAACACGUGAGCAACCUGCCCCAGACUCUGGAAUAAGCGCUGGAAACGGCGUCUAAUACUGGAUACGAAACUGGCCCGCAUGGGCAUGGGUUGGAAAGUUUUUCGGUUUGGGAUGGGCUCGCGGCCUAUCAGCUUGUUGGUGAGGUAAUGGCUCACCAAGGCGACGACGGGUAGCCGGCCUGAGAGGGAGACCGGCCACACUGGGACUGAGACACGGCCCAGACUCCUACGGGAGGCAGCAGUGGGGAAUAUUGCACAAUGGGCGAAAGCCUGAUGCAGCGACGCCGCGUGAGGGAUGACGGCCUUCGGGUUGUAAACCUCUUUCAGCAGGGAAGAAGCGAAAGUGACGGUACCUGCAGAAGAAGCACCGGCUAACUACGUG
rnacentral:rRNA from 1 species